GAUGAACGCUGGCGGCGUGCUUAACACAUGCAAGUCGAACGGGAAACCUUUUAAUGAAGCUUCCGCAGAUUUAGCUGGUUUCUAGUGGCGGACGGGGGAGUAACGCGUUGGUAACCUGCCUUAUACAGGGGGAUAACAGUCAGAAAUGACUGCUAAUACUGCAUAACCGCACAGGACCGCAUGGUCCGGUGUGAAAAACUCCGGUGGUAUAAGAUGGACCCGAGUUGGAUUAGCUGGUGGGUGGGGUAACGGCCCACCAAGGCGACGAUCCAUAGCCGGCCUGAGAGGGUGAACGGCCACAUUGGGACUGAGACACGGCCCAGACUCCUACGGGAGGGAGCAGUGGGGAAUAUUGCACAAUGGGGGAAAACCUGAUGCAGCGACGCCGCGUAAAGGAAGAAGUAUCUCGAUAUGUAAACUUCUAUCAGCAGGGAAGAUAGUGACGGUACCUGACUAAGAAGCCCCGGCUAACUACGUG
rnacentral:rRNA from 1 species